rnacentral:rRNA from 1 species
GACGAACGCUGGCGGCGUGCUUAACACAUGCAAGUCGAACGAGGAAGAAGAGAAACGCGAACUUCGGUUCAAAUUUCACUUCGGAUUAGUGGCAGACGGGUGAGUAACGCGUGAGCAACCUACCUCUUACAAAGGGAUAGCCUCGGGAAACCGUUAUUAAUACCAUAUGACACAUUCAUAAGGCAUCUUAAGAAUGUUAAAGCUACGGCGGUAAGAGAUGGGCUCGCGUCCUAUUAGCUAGUUGGUGAGGUAACGGCCCACCAAGGCGACGAUGGGUAACCGGCCUGAGAGGGUGAACGGUCACACUGGAACUGAGACACGGUCCAAACUCCUACGGGAGGCAGCAGUGGGGAAUAUUGGACAAUGGAGGGAACCCUGAUGCAGCGACGCCGCGUGAGUGAUGAAGGAAUUCGUUUUGUAAAGCUCUGUUAUAUGGGAAGAAAAGGACUGUACCAUAGGAGAAAGCCCCGGCUAAAUACGUG